rnacentral:rRNA from 1 species
AUUGAACGCUGGCGGCAGGCCUAACACAUGCAAGUCGAGCGGAGCGGCGGACGGGUGAGUAACGCCUCGGAAUCGGCAUGGUAGUGGGGGAUAACGUCCGGAAACGGGCGCUAAUACCGCAUACUAUCAGAUAAGCCUGGGUCGGAUUAGCUUGUUGGUGGGGUAAAGGCUUACCAAGGUGACGAUCCGUAACUGGUCUGAGAGGAUGAUCAGUCACACUGGAACUGAGACACGGCCCAGACUCCGACGGGAGGCAGCAGUGGGGAAUAUUAGACAAUGGGCGAAAGCCUGAUCCAGCCAUGCCGCGUGUGUGAAGAAGGUCUUCGGAUUGUAAAGCACUUUAGGUUGGGAGGCGUUACCAACAGAAUAAGCACCGGCUAACUCCGUGCCAGCAGCCGCGGUAAUUC